rnacentral:rRNA from 1 species
UACGUAGGGUGCGAGCGUUAAUCGGAAUUACUGGGCGUAAAGCGUGCGCAGGCGGCUUUGCAAGACAGAUGUGAAAUCCCCGGGCUCAACCUGGGAACUGCAUUUGUGACUGUAUAGCUAGAGUACGGUAGAGGGGGAUGGAAUUCCGCGUGUAGCAGUGAAAUGCGUAGAUAUGCGGAGGAACACCGAUGGCGAAGGCAAUCCCCUGGGCCUGUACUGACGCUCAUGCACGAAAGCGUGGGGAGCAAACAGG